GGUGACUUUUCUAAAGUUAGAAAGGUGUCUUUGGACAACUUGACUACUCAGUGGCCUUAUUUUGAUAAUUUGAUGUUUUUAAAAAUAGGUUUAUACAGAUGCUUGCAUUGGGCAAUUGGGUUGGCAGACCCUAUGUUUGGGAUUUAGAAGCAGAAGAUCCUCACAAAGCUAAGAGCUGUGCUAUGGGUGCAUGCAUUGUGCCAAGGCCAACAGCCUGCUAUACUGCUGAGAGGAAACAUAAAAAAAAGGAUCCAGAGACGAAGCAGAUUCUAUGGAGAUACCAGAUAAUAAAGACAAGGACACUGUGUUCAAGAACCAGCUUAUAUAAAUGCACUGGGGAGGGGUUUGGAGCAUGAAGGAGGGUUUACUCUACUCUGUUGCAUGAGUUCAGGGAAGAACAU